GGGGGUGCGCUGGGGCGGCUCGUCGACUCCAAAUUGACAGGGCGCGGGUUCGAUUCCCGUCACCUCCACCU
rnacentral:tRNA from 1 species